rnacentral:pre_miRNA from 1 species
UGAGUGUGUGUGUGUCUGUUAGUGUGUGUGACUCUUAGUGUGUGCAGACACACACACUAACAGACACACACACACUCACU